GAUGAACGCUGGCGGCGUGCCUAAUACAUGCAAGUCGAGCGAACAGACGAGGAGCUUGCUCCUCUGACGUUAGCGGCGGACGGGUGAGUAACACGUGGAUAACCUACCUAUAAGACUGGGAUAACUUCGGGAAACCGGAGCUAAUCCCGGAUAAUAUAUUGAACCGCAGGGUUGAAUAGUGAAAGACGGUUUUGCUGUCACUUAUCGAUGGAUACGCGCCGCAUUAGCUAGUUGGUAAGUUAACGGCUUACCAAGGCAAGGAUGCGUGGCCCACCGGUGAGGGGGAUCGCCCACACGGGAGCUGGAACGCGGUCCUGGCGACUAAGGGAGGCCGCAGUAGGGAAUCUGCCGCAAUGGGCGAGAACAUGACGGAGCAGCGCGGCGUGAGUUAUGAAGGUCUUCGGUUCGUAAAACUCUGUUAUUAGGGAAAAACAAAUUUGUAAGUAACUAUGCACGUCGUGACGGUACCUGAUCAGAAAGCCACGGCUAACUACGUG
rnacentral:rRNA from 1 species